UACAGAGGUCCCGAGCGUUGUUCGGACUCAUUGGGCGUAAAGGGUGCGUAGGCGGCGAGGUAAGUCUGAUGUGAAAUCCCGGGGCUCAACCCCGGAACUGCAUUGGAUACUGCCUUGCUUGAGUACUGGAGAGGGAACUGGAAUUUACGGUGUAGCAGUGAAAUGCGUAGAGAUCGUAAGGAAGGCCAGUGGCGAAGGCGAGUUCCUGGACAGUUACUGACGCUGAGGCACGAAGGCCAGGGGAGCAAACGGG
rnacentral:rRNA from 1 species